rnacentral:misc_RNA from 1 species
UAUACCCUCGCUUCCCUCCUGUUUGUAUGAACAAGGGUCGGCCCAGCGCUUGCUGCCGGGCUUGGAAGCGGAUCUGGCUUUCCCACUGCUUCUGUGGGUUUGCCGAAAAGCAGAGGCUAGAGCGAGGACCUGUCAUGGGCUCAACUGGAUAGGUAGAAGCGGUGCUGCAAAGCGCUGCCAAUACACGAAAGUUGGUGCCUUGGACCUCGCUGGCGGCCAGCAGGAAACGAGCGGUCGUGUUGUUGGCACCCACGGUGCCAAUGGCCGCCGCCGUCUACC